rnacentral:rRNA from 1 species
GCAGGUGAUGAGCCUGCGAGCACUCUAGACAGACUGCCCGUGAUAAGCGGGAGGAAGGUGGGGAGUGACGUCAAGUCAGUAUGGCCUUUAUGCCCUGGGCUGCGCACGUGCUACAAUGGACGGUACAGAAGGAUGCAAGACCGCGAGGUGGAGCAAAUCCUGAAAACCGUCCCCAGUUCAGAUUGAAGGCUGAAACUCGCCUUCAUGAAGCCGGAUUCGCUAGUAAUGGCGCAUCAGCUACGGCGCCGUGAAUACGUUCCCGGGCCUU